UUUCGUGUGAACAGCAGUUGAACACGAGUCAGUCGGUCCUAAGGAAUAGGCGAAAGCCGUUCUGAAGUUUUUGUGUAUAUAAAUGUUCGAAAAAGUGAGAUUUGAGAAAAACAAUUGACCGAAAGGGAAUCGGGUUAAUAUUCCCGAACCUGGACACGGAGAUCGGCUUUAUCUUGUACCUUUACCGGUCAAGUGAGUCGAAUGCGGUAACGCAAACGAACUCGGAGACGUCGGCGGUAGUCCCGGGAAGAGUUGUCUUUUCUUUGUAAGGAACGGACUCCCUGGAAUCGGCUCGCCCGGAGAUAGGGACGUUGUUUCCGUAAAGCACCGCGGCUCUUGCGGUGUCCGGAGCACUGCCGCCGGCCCUUGAAAAUCCGAGGGAGAGAUACUUGUAAUGAUUUUCGUGCCAGACCGUACCCAUAUCCGCAGCAGGUCUCCAAGGUGAACAGCCUCUAGUCGAUAGAACA
rnacentral:rRNA from 1 species